rnacentral:rRNA from 1 species
UUUUAUGAGAGUUUGAUCCUGGCUCAGGACGAACGCUGGCGGCGUGCCUAAUACAUGCAAGUCGAACGCUUCUUUUUCCACCGGAGCUUGCUCCACCGGAAAAAGAGGAGUGGCGAACGGGUGAGUAACACGUGGGUAACCUGCCCAUCAGAAGGGGAUAACACUUGGAAACAGGUGCUAAUACCGUAUAACAAUCAAAACCGCAUGGUUUUGAUUUGAAAGGCGCUUUCGGGUGUCGCUGAUGGAUGGACCCGCGGUGCAUUAGCUAGUUGGUGAGGUAACGGCUCACCAAGGCCACGAUGCAUAGCCGACCUGAGAGGGUGAUCGGCCACAUUGGGACUGAGACACGGCCCAAACUCCUACGGGAGGCAGCAGUAGGGAAUCUUCGGCAAUGGACGAAAGUCUGACCGAGCAACGCCGCGUGAGUGAAGAAGGUUUUCGGAUCGUAAAACUCUGUUGUUAGAGAAGAACAAGGAUGAGAGUAACUGUUCAUCCCUUGACGGUAUCUAACCAGAAAGCCACGGCUAACUACGUGCCAGCAGCCGCGGUAAUACGUAGGUGGCAAGCGUUGUCCGGAUUUAUUGGGCGUAAAGCGAGCGCAGGCGGUUUCUUAAGUCUGAUGUGAAAGCCCCCGGCUCAACCGGGGAGGGUCAUUGGAAACUGGGAGACUUGAGUGCAGAAGAGGAGAGUGGAAUUCCAUGUGUAGCGGUGAAAUGCGUAGAUAUAUGGAGGAACACCAGUGGCGAAGGCGGCUCUCUGGUCUGUAACUGACGCUGAGGCUCGAAAGCGUGGGGAGCAAACAGGAUUAGAUACCCUGGUAGUCCACGCCGUAAACGAUGAGUGCUAAGUGUUGGAGGGUUUCCGCCCUUCAGUGCUGCAGCUAACGCAUUAAGCACUCCGCCUGGGGAGUACGACCGCAAGGUUGAAACUCAAAGGAAUUGACGGGGGCCCGCACAAGCGGUGGAGCAUGUGGUUUAAUUCGAAGCAACGCGAAGAACCUUACCAGGUCUUGACAUCCUUUGACCACUCUAGAGAUAGAGCUUCCCCUUCGGGGGCAAAGUGACAGGUGGUGCAUGGUUGUCGUCAGCUCGUGUCGUGAGAUGUUGGGUUAAGUCCCGCAACGAGCGCAACCCUUAUUGUUAGUUGCCAUCAUUCAGUUGGGCACUCUAGCAAGACUGCCGGUGACAAACCGGAGGAAGGUGGGGAUGACGUCAAAUCAUCAUGCCCCUUAU